UUUUUUUUUUCACCCUGCUUUAAAAGCCCUUGGGCCCUUCCCAACUGGGUGCCAGCCAACUGUGGCUGCCUGGGACACUCCAUCUUAAGUCCCUGUGCCUCUGCUGUGUGUUACUGAGUGCCUAGGCCGUGCCAGCCUGUAUUCAUCUGUACUAUGACCUGAAGAGGCAGAGGCCAUCAUUGUUGGUCUGGUCUCCACCUGGGGAAACUGAGGUGUCUCUGUGGUGACGAGCAGGGCUUCAUCCAGUGCCUCUGUCCCCACCGAGGGGACUGUGGGAGCCAUGGAGGGUGUGUGAGCAACAGGUGAGACUGGAGCCAGCUGAAAACUGGGAGACCGACCCAGCCAACAAACAAUGUCGGUCUCUGUCCUGGCACCCGCAGGAAACAAGCUCCUACUUCCAGAAAAAGUGCUCCUGGGACUCCAGGAUACCAAGUAAACUCUCUGAGCCUGUUCCUUCAUCUGCAAAGGGGAAUAACAGGGCCAGCCUCACCUGCU
rnacentral:lncRNA from 1 species